AGAAGGAACUUUGUGCUGACGGCAAACUCAACCAUAUGCGACCAGCAUUUCGUAUUGGGAUUUUCACACAUAUAACAUUUUUUAUCAGCUCGAUCCCAAGACAGGCCACAGGGACACAAUUCUCUUGUGUCAAAGGGGAUGGAUUUUUAGUCGCCGUCUAGUAAGACAAUCUGCUGGGAGACGAGUGUAGAGAAGACAGGCCACACAGACUGAGGACACUGCGGUGAGCAGUCGCUAAGUGAGAGCCAUUCACAGCCAACAGUGAGUGGCUGUAGUUUCUACUCAGGAAACGGAAGUUCCGGGUGUAUCCGAGUGUCAUCAUCUGUUUCCACUCCACAGCACGAUCCUCACAGAGAAAGGAUUCAGCAAACAUUGGCUUCUUCUUGUAGUGGACAUGGGCAACUCGUGUAUAACCACAGGAGGCAGAGUGGGCAGAAAAGGGCGAAAGUGGAAACAGGUCCGACACAUCCUAAAACAGAGGUCAAGGAUCCCGUUCGUCGAGCGCCAGAGAGCAGUGAUCAAGGCAAAAAAUGCUAUGUUCCACUUUAUCCAAUUGAAGAGCUUCAGGCGUUAGGAGGACCUCCUUCACGAAAGACUAAAGCGAAAGAAGACGACAUCCAGGGAGUUGCAGGAGCCGUAGGACCGUCUGUUGGUGCUCCGCGGCCACCUCCACCGCCUCAACCAGGUGUGGCUUGAAUUGUAUUUGGGAGUGUUCUGACAACUUGGCUGUUUGUUUUCCUGUCAAUUUAAUAUGAUAGUCAUGCUACUUUCAAAAACUCAGUCUAUUUAAGAAUGUUAACAUAAUAUGUCAUCAAACAAUACCUGUGUAACUUACCGUAUAUUUAAAAGAGAUUUAGGAAUUGAGAACUACUCAAUAAAUGUAUCCCCUGCUCUUAGAGGUCUCUUAAUUAAAUUUAGGUUAAGCUGCAUUAAAACUAUUUAGGUUAAGGUUAGAUACGAAGAGAUAUCAAGAGAUACGAGAACAUGUCCAUUGUGUAGUCUAAAUGAGGCAGAUGAUGUAUUUUAUUGUAUUCGUAUGUUUUCUCACCCUUUGUUAACUGUCUCAUGUACAGAGCUGCUUCCCUUGCAUUUUUUCGCCACCAGAAUGUGUACAAUUGUGUUAGCUAAUAAAUAAUAAAUCUUACACCAGACUUAAUUUACGAAAAUUUAUUACAUUCUUCAUUCUUUCAGUAACUUUAAACUUCUUUGUGUUUUAGUAUAAUGUGAAGGUCGUGUGACAAGAAUGUGGUGUUCAAUUAAUCUAUUGUAAUUGUUGCAGUUU